CAAUAUAUAAAGUAUACUAUAUGUCUGACAAAAAAAUAAAAGUUAUACAACCACUCAAAAUAUUAAGACAAGAGAUCAGAACUUUUAUUGAAAUAAGAAACUUUUUAGGAUAUAAAAUUGACAGACUAUUAAAGCAAUUUAAUGAACUGAAUGUCUGACUAGGACAUAAUGAAUGAUGACUGGAAAAAUAAUACCUCACCCAAAUACAGAGAUUAUCAGUACUGUAAUUUUCUUCAAACAUUGCACAGGUAUAAUUACCUGUUUAUCAUAUGUAUAUACAUGUAAAUAUUUGAAAUAUUGAGAUUAUACUGUAAUUUUUCUUCAAAC
rnacentral:lncRNA from 1 species